AGCAGCCGCGGUAAUUCCAGCUCCAAUAGCGUAUAUUAAAGUUGUUGCAGUUAAAAGCUCGUAGUUGAAUUUCGGAAUCAAUGGAUCGGUCAUGCCACUCGGUGUGUACUGGUUUGAUUGGUUCUCACCUUCUAAGGAACCGUGAUGUCAUUAAUUUGGUGUCGCGGGGAAUUAGGACUGUUACUUUGAAAAAUUGAGUGUUUAAAGCAAGCUCACGCUUGAAUACAUUAGCAUGGAAUAAUGAAAUAGGACAUUGUAUUCUAUUUUGUUGGUUUCUAGGAUCGAUGUAAUGAUUAAUAGGGAUAGUUGGGGGCAUUAGUAUUCAAUUGUCAGAGGUGAAAUUCUUGGAUUUAUUGAAGACUAACUACUGCGAAAGCAUUUGCCAAGGAUGUUUUCAUUAAUCAAGAACGAAAGUUAGGGGAUCGAAGACGAUCAGAUACCGUCGUAGUCUUAACCAUAAACUAUGCCGACUAGGGAUCGGAUGAUGUUAAUUUUUUAAUGACUCAUUC
rnacentral:misc_RNA from 1 species